rnacentral:rRNA from 1 species
AUUGAACGCUGGCGGCAUGCCUUACACAUGCAAGUCGAACGGUAACAGGUCUUCGGAUGCUGACGAGUGGCGAACGGGUGAGUAAUACAUCGGAACGUGCCCGAUCGUGGGGGAUAACGAAGCGAAAGCUUUGCUAAUACCGCAUAAGAUCUACGGAUGAAAGCAGGGGACCGCAAGGCCUUGCGCGAACGGAGCGGCCGAUGGCAGAUUAGGUGGUUGGUGGGAUAAAAGCUUACCAAGCCGACGAUCUGUAGCUGGUCUGAGAGGACGACCAGCCAAACUGGGAAUGAGACACGGCCCAGGCUCCUACGGGAGGCAGCAGUGGGGAAGUUUGGACAAUGAGCGAAAGCCUGAUCCAGCCAUGCCGCGUGCAGGAUGAAGGACUUCGGGUUGUAAACUGCUUUUGUACGGAACGAAAAGACUCUUUCUAAUAAAGAGGGUCCAUGACGGUACCGUAAGAAUAAGCACCGGCUAACUACGUGCCAGCAGCCGCCGUAAAAC